rnacentral:lncRNA from 1 species
UGCGACAACACUGGAUCCUUUAACCCACUGCAUGGAGCCAGGGAUCAAACCUAUGCCUCCUCAGCAAUCCAAGCCACUGCAGUCAAAUCUUAACCCACUGCACCACAUGGGAAAUCCAACAUCUGAGUGUCUUUAUAUAUAAACUUAUUUAAGUAAAUAAAGUGAGUUAUUUUAAAGCCUGAUGCUAAGCCAAUCCUGAACCAGGUGGCUGGGACACUACCUGUCUAGCCACAGUAGAGCCCAGGUCUAAAGUAAGCAAAAGGAAGCUGACUGGAAAAAAGCAGAAAGGUAAAGUCUUGUCAAAACGCAAGAAGCCUCGUGGCAGGGUAAACAUUUUGGAAAAUAUUUUGUAGGUCUGUUUUCCAAGUGUCUGCAAAGCCAAAUUCCUUGGAAAUAUGUUCUUUGUGCAUGAGUGUGGCAUCUCUCUCAUUUUCCAGAGUGCAUGAAAUAUGCCAAUCUUCAAUUCUGUUAUUCAAAGUUAAAGGCAAAGUUGAAAAAAGCAAAUACAACUUCAUGCUGCAUGCAAAAUAUAAAAGUGCAACCAUAAAUACCGUUUUAAUUUUUAAAAACUUUAUAUCAUUUGAGGAGUUCCCCUAGAAGCUCAGUGGAAAGGAAUCUGACUAGCAUCCAUGAGGAUGUAGGUUCAAUCGCUGGCCUCACUCAAUAAGUUAAGGAUCUGGCAUUGUCAUGAGUGUGGUGUAGGUCACAGAUGCAGCUCAGAUCUGGUGUUGCUGUGGCCGUGGCGUAGGCCAGCAGCUACAGCUUAAAUUUGACCCCUAGCCUGGGAACCUCCAUAUGCCCCAGGUACAGCCCUAAAAAAACAAAACAAAACAAAAUUUGUAUCAUUUAAGAUCUGAUCAUAAAACAGAGGAUACAUAAAACACUCACCUGGGGUAAUCGGUAAAACUAUUUACAGAGGUGUGGGGAAACCAAGGGUUAAUGCAAUGUAUGGGGCUAAGGGAGGAAGAACCCACUGAGAAAGUCCACAUAGGAGAACCUACCAGGCACCAAGCUGAGUAUAAAGGGAUAAAUGGAAGAUAACCAGCACAGAAACAAGGCUAUUUUCAAAUAUUUUCAAACAUUUGCUGGGUAUUUAUUUACCACUGUGUAAUCACUAGCUUUAGGCUGGGCUGUGGACUACAGAGAUUAAGAGGGCAGAUAGCUUGGACUCAGCUUGCCACUCAUCAGCUAUGUGAGUUUCUUAUGUCACUGAACUUAGUUUAUUUGGUAAAAUGAGGGACAAAAGCAGUAUUCAUCCUAACACUGGUGUGAGAAGCCAAAGAGUAAAUGUAUUUAUGUUGAUGCUAGAAAGAUAUUACCAGAAUUCAGGUUCUUGUUCAUGCAGCCAAAGAAUGAACUCUGGAACACACAGGCAGCAAGCAAGCAAAAUCUUUAUUAUAAGAAAACAAAUAGCUCCCAGGACAGCUGGGAAGGGGUAGAAGAGCCCCCCUCUCUAUUGUCUUAUAGGGGUUUUUAUCCCUUAAAGAUGGGGGUUACCAAUGUGGGGUACAGAAAGAUGUGGGUUUUUUUCCUCAUUGGCUUUGCCCAAUUACCUAUAUCAGUCCUUGUCCAAUAGGGGUCUUGGAGUGGAAAUGUCCCGUAAGUCUCAUGGUUUCUUUGCCCUUCUCUUCCCGUAAACUGAGUCACAGGGGGUUAGAGAUUAAUGUCCAUCCGGGCAAAGGUACACUCCCUGUAGUAAACAAGGCCUGUGGGGAUGUUACUCUCUGGAAUCUUUAAGCCACAAAUGUUAAUCAAUACAUAUCAAAGAAGGCAUCAAAGCCCAUGCUCCUACAAUGACCACAUGAGUUAUUAUUCUGUCUCAAUGUUAGCCACGAAAAUGUUCAAGAGAAACCUAUGGGAAAAAGCUUAAAAUUGUGGAAAUUCUAAAUUUAAACUGAAUUAAAUUAGUAUUUCAUAUGACUUGGUCAAAAAUAUUCUAUGUAAUUGACAGAACAUCUGCAAGGCCUCCAAAGCUGUAAAAUGAUCUAGACUAGCAGAGGUGGGUAGGGGUGAUGGUUGUGAUCAGUAAUGGUGGUAAAACCGAGCAGAAUCCUAUGGGGCUUUCCCAAGUACAAAGUACUAAGUAGAAGUACAAACGCCUUCCCAAGUACUAUGUCCCCUGGCUCUUGUUUAGGGAAAUGCUGAAGUCUUCCAGGCUUCCUAGAGACACAAAAGAGGAGGCUCAAGCAGUUAAUUAUUGGGAUGAUAGAGUCCUACACUCAGCGUCUGAUAAAGAAUGAGAUUAACACUAUUGCUCAUAUGAUCUAUAUCUCUGUGUGCAUUAGAAUAAUUGUAGCUUGUUCUGCUCAUAUAUGUUAGCAGGCAACUAAAAUUGUCAGCAAAGAGAUGAUACAGAUCCAUGUUGACAUCUUCCAUUCUAAGAAUAAAAUGCCCCCUAGGUCAGCAUGAAGUUACAGAAGACAGACCUUUGCCCCAGAUGCAUAAAACGGGAAUGAUGUCUGAUGGGAUUUGUCAGCAGCUCAUUUGCCCCUUUUCCGCUUGUUCAUUUCUGUUUUCCUCGGACCUCAAUCAUAAAGAUGAAAUCAUUAGGCAACAUUUAACCUAAGU